AGUCAAGAAAACCGUGCCUUGUUUCUUGAGUACCCUUAUCUUAUGUCCAUUCUAUCGUUCCUCUGCCCUCUUCUCAUUUUAUCCAAGCCUGAUGAAACCAUCAAAGAACAAACCCUAGACAUUUACUGAAACCAUUAAAGAACAAGAAUGAUUCUCUAUCCGUGAUUCUCUAUAGAACCUUGCAUCUACUACAAUACAGUAAACCAAAUCAAUCUCUUCUCACCUUCAAAAAAGAAAAACCUUAUCUAUUAUUAUUAAACAAUCUCUUUACGUCAUCUCUUCAUGAUCUCUCUAAAAACCCAGAUCUUCCCAAUUUUGAAACCCUAAUAUAUAAUCGUUCACUUCCCCAGAUCUAUUCAUGGUCAUCAAUUGAUUAAUAAUUGGUGGUGUUUUUAAACCAUUUGAAGAAAUUAAUAAACAACACAGAAUCAAAACCCUAACUGGAGUUGGAUUUCUUCGUGUGAUGGAUAAUUCUCAAAUUGCAGGCACAUCUGGAUGGACAUGUGAGAUGUGGCCAUGGAGAAAAGGUACAAAAGCUGCUCGAGAAAUUGUAUGCUGAGCAGAUUUGGGUCAGGGAGGAGACCUCAGCUUCAUUGGUUAUGGAAUAUCUAUUGAAAACAAGUGGUAUUACUUAGUUUGUAUGUCCUUCAAAUUCAUUUAUGCUGGUAACUUACCUUAUUAAUAAGAAGGUGGUGGUACCAGAUAUGGUGGUGGCCGAAUAUUUUUGGUCACCUAAAUCUCCAAGAGAGCUAUGCAUUAUGCAUAUACGGAUUUAUAAUAUCUCGUGGAAAUUAUCGUCGGCGUUGUUGGGGAACUUGAUCUUCUUAAGAUUACAGAACAACUUGGCAAUGUGUUCACAAGCCCAAGAGGCACAUGGAUACUGAGAAUGAGGAAUAAGUCAAAGACGAUGAAGUUAAUUUCUUCUUUGCAUUAUUUUAAGUUUAAUUUUGUAGUUUAUCAUGUAGAAGGUAUUAUCACUUUGAGAACAAUACGACAACUGCAUCUGCCAAAGCAUGCUGCAAGGGUCACAUCUGCUCCUACUAUCGAACACUUCGGUAUGGCUACAAGCAUUCAACUAUGCUUAUGUGUAAACUUAUGCGCAGUCUACCUUCUUGUUGGCAGAAACUUACUUCUCAGUUGAGCUAGUUAGUUAGCAAAUGGAGGCAUAAAUGGUGAAGUUUUGCGGACUCCAGUUUCGUUCUACCAUUGAUUUACAAGGAAUAUUGCAAUUGGACAUAAUAGAAGAGAAAGUUGAUAUGGAGGAUAUCAUUGCAGAGUCAAUUCUGGAUAUUCUCGAUGAUAAAUAUGCUCACUACAAGAAAACUAAGAAUUCUAGCUGUGUAUCUCCCAGCUAUAUGGUUCAACAAUUAUAUCAACGAUAAGAUGAGGGUCAUCCUAUCUGUUUUGGGAUGUGAUUUCUUAGGAGACCACUUGAUGUUAUUGUUGCUUUCGUGACUGCUAUUAGCAUUUCUUUCCUAAACAAUAGCUUGUCCAACCUGCUUGCCAUUCUGUGUUGGGUAAUCUAUGAUCAAAGACUCCAUAUGGCUUUAAGGAUAGGGGAGGAUAAACAUUUUCUGUGGCUGCUCACCGUGUACUCGAUCUUUUAUCGCGCAAAAUUUUGCAAAGGAUGUGCUGUGCAUAGGUGUUGAAUUCAAGAUUGUACAGAGCUAUAAAGUUCUUGGUACUAAAGAAAAAGUCUUCCAUCUUUCACAGGGAUUAUGCUUUUUGUUUGCAUCUUAGAGUUAUUGGAGUAAUAGACCUGAUUAGAGCUAGUUUGUCAGUAAAUGAAGUUGUAUAUUCCUUCAAAUAUUGUAAUAGGAAUAUGCAUUAAGCAUUUUCAACUUAGUUUAGAAUUCAGGUGCGUUGUCCCUCAGCAGAUAGAAGCAUUUUUAUUUUACCCAGAGUAUUUUAGAUAGUUGAAGUUAUAAACUGGAUACACUUCUUAAUACAAAUUCAAAUGUGAAGUCAUUUCAAGUA